rnacentral:rRNA from 1 species
UUGAACGCUGGCGGAAUGCUUUACACAUGCAAGUCGAGCGGCAGCGCGGGGGCAACCCUGGCGGCGAGCGGCGAACGGGUGAGUAACAUAUCGGAACGUACCCUGUCGUGGGGGAUAACACAGCGAAAGCUGUGCUAAUACCGCAUACGACCUGAGGGUGAAAGCGGGGGAUCGCAAGACCUCGCGCGAUAGGAGCGGCCGAUAUCGGAUUAGCUUGUUGGUGAGGUAAAGGCUCACCAAGGCGACGAUCCGUAGCUGGUCUGAGAGGACGACCAGCCACACUGGAACUGAGACACGGUCCAGACUCCUACGGGAGGCAGCAGUGGGGAAUUUUAGACAAUGGGGGCAACCCUGAUCCAGCCAUGCCGCGUGAGUGAAGAAGGCCUUCGGGUGGUAAAGCUCUUUCAGACGGAAAGAAACGGUCACGAUUAAUACUCGUGACUAAUGACGGUACCGUCAGAAGAAGCACCGGCUAACUACGU